rnacentral:lncRNA from 1 species
GCUGGAUUUUGGAUGUGAAAAUUUAAUAAACCUGUUGGAGAUUUGUUAAUCACUGAAAAAUGAUUUUUCCACGUUGCUGGAAGUCAAUACAAACACGUUGAAAGUUUGUAUGAUUGCUUAAAGAAAGUAACUUUCAAAUUUUAUUGCUUAAAUAGACAUGUUGAGAUUAAAUUAGGCCAAAAGUUAAUUAGUAAUUCCUAAAACAUGGUUGAGAUUAAAUUAGGCCAAAAGUUAAUUAGUAAUUCCUAAAACAUGAUUUAGCAGUGAUAACAUAAGUUAUUAUUGAUCCUAAAUUAUUCUUUUACCCAGGUGAUUCAACAUAAUCACAUAAUCCCCCCUCCCCCCAUGAAUUUAUUAUUACACAGUAGCGGUUUAUACAAAAAUAAUUACAAAUCAAUGAAUAAUAGGAAAAAAAAAAAAUGGCUAAACUAAGGAAGAAAUAGGUCACCCUUCCCCAAACUCCCGGGCAAAUCUUUAUGUCCCAAAAUAUCUUUCAAUAAUAACUGUCAGAUAAAUAAGAUAGCAGAACAAGUAUCAAAGACAAAGUCAAACAUGACCGCAAAUACAGAAAUAAUGAAGCACAAACACUGAAUAUUUUCUAUAGGCAUGUUUUCUAACAUCAUAAAGUCAUCAGAUAAAUAUGAAAAUUAAAUCGAUAGAUACUUACCGAUAAGCAGCAAAGAAAUGAUAAAAGACCUUAAGAAACACAAUUGAGGUAAUAAACAGAACCGAAUGCCUUCUUUAAAAUUCAAAAAUACCAAAAAACUUAAAAAUAUUUCUUAACUUCUGUAUACAAAUAGCUAGUAACUCUUUUUAAGGGGUGAUAGCUGAGGAGAAGAUGUCCCCGAUAUGAAUGAAAUGGGUCUUUAUAUGGUGAGUAGCAGUAAGAAACUUAAAGAACGAAAUAUGUAAUAAUCAAUCAGUGGCAGUAGGAAAGGAAAACAAAAUAUUCUAAAAAUCAAUUAUUGAGUGAAUCAAUUAAUGAGGAGGAAAAUAUGCUAAAUUACCAUAAAUAUUCACACACAAUCUGUCAAAAUCAAAAAAGGUAAGAGAGAGCCCACAAGAUAUCUUUUAAAUAAUUUUUUAACAUAAAUAAGCACCAAAAAAGGCUAUUGUUUUAUUCAAAAUUUAAAUUGAGCAAAUUAACUAUACAUAUAUUCACAGUCACACACAAAACAUAUAUUUACCUUAAUUGUUCAAGAACCAAGGCUGUCAUAUAAAGAGAGAAAAUAAUCAAAGUGAAACCCACCUCCAACGCAUGACUUCAAUUUCAAUAAGGGGACCGAAUCAAUUAACAAUAACAGCUAGUUUGCCAACCAUAAGAAAUCCCACUCAGACGCACAUGAUAAAUAAUUAAUGAAUAUGCAAGCGCAUAUAGGUAAAAAUCAACAUCCAAUUCAACACUAGGGUCAGAAUCAAGCACAUGUAAAUUUGAGAAUUUUAACAAAUAUUGAUCUAGAUGAGUAGAUAAUCAUGUAUUUGAAGGAAUUGAACCAAAAUUCAAAUUCAGACAUUGCCAAUUUUGAAUCUAAGAAUCUUUCUAAGAAAGAAAAGGAGUAGAGAAAGAUUUAGGCAAAACUUAAAAUGGAAACAAACCUGAGACGGAUUCACAUCUGUGAAUUUGCCAUGCACUUUAAAUGAUUUUCCAGUGAAUUUUACUCGGGAUCAAGGGUCGCGGAGAGAUAAUGGCGGUGUGAGGGAUAUGGUUAAUCACCGUCGACUCACUGAUGGUGUCCUGGUGAAACACGAAGGAGCAGCGGCAGCAGGGUGAACUAAUUCGCGAUGCUAGUUCAACUAUUUUUGCCGAUUGGAGUGAGGUUUUUACCGCAGGAAAGGGAGAGACGAAAUGUAGGUCGGCCGGUGAUCGGCCUAGCAGCGGCAGAUCGAUAAUGCUGGGGAGAGGGGAAUAACUGCUAGUUUACGAAGGAGAGAAAGAAAAAAGAAUUGGUCACGGCCAUGACCGCCGAUUGCAUGAGGGAGAAGAGCGAUGGAGCAGCGACAACAGCCGUCCACCAACGGUGACAUCAUCGAGUUUUAAAGAGAGAAAGAGAGAGGAGAGAAAAACUGUGAGGUGGUGUGCAACUGCUUUGAGGGGAAUAGGGAUUAGGGUUUAGGGUUAGGUUUUAUUUUUAAAAAGAAGAAAAA